rnacentral:rRNA from 1 species
AUUGAACGCUGGCGGAAUGCUUUACACAUGCAAGUCGAACGGCAGCACGGACUUCGGUCUGGUGGCGAGUGGCGAACGGGUGAGUAAUAUAUCGGAACGUAUCCAAUAAUGGGGGAUAACUAAUCGAAAGGUUGGCUAAUACCGCAUACGCCCUACGGGGGAAAGCAGGGGAUCUUCGGACCUUGCGUUAAUGGAGCGGCUGAUACCUGAUUAGCUAGUUGGUGGGGUAAAGGCCCACCAAGGCGACGAUCAGUAGCUGGUCUGAGAGGACGACCAGCCACACUGGAACUGAGACACGGUCCAGACUCCUACGGGAGGCAGCAGUGGGGAAUUUUGGACAAUGGGCGCAAGCCUGAUCCAGCCAUUCCGCGUGAGUGAAGAAGGCCUUCGGGUUGUAAAGCUCUUUCGCAAGGGAAGAAACGAUGCAAGCGAAUAACUUGUGUUAAUGACGGU